GUCCACGCCGUAAACGAUGGAUGCUAGAUGUCGGGGGUAUUUACCCUCCGGCGUCGCAGCUAACGCAUUAAGCAUCCCGCCUGGGGAGUACGGCCGCAAGGCUAAAACUCAAAGGAAUUGACGGGGGCCCCGCACAAGCGGUGGAGCAUGUGGUUUAAUUCGACGCAACGCGCAGAACCUUACCUGGGUUAAAUCCACCGGAACCUUGCAGAGAUGUAGGGGUGCCCUUCGGGGAGCCGGUGAGAAGGUGCUGCAUGGCUGUCGU
rnacentral:rRNA from 1 species